rnacentral:rRNA from 1 species
UAAGACGAACCGUCCAAACGUUAUUCGGAAUCACUGGGCUUAAAGGGCGCGUAGGUGGGUUGGCCAGUCUAUGGUGAAAUCCUCCGGCUUAACCGGAGAACUGCCGUGGAUACUGCCAGUCUCGAGGAGGGUAGGGGCGUCUGGAACUAGCGGUGGAGCGGUGAAAUGCGUUGAUAUCGCUAGGAACUCCGGUGGCGAAGGCGAGACGCUGGACCCUUUCUGACACUGAGGCGCGAAAGCCAGGGGAGCGAACGGGAUUAGAUACCCCGGUAGUCCUGGCCCUAAACGAUGAGAACUGGAUAGCGGGCCUGACAUAGGCACGCUGUCGGAGCAAAAGUGUUAAGUUCUCCGCCUGGGGAGUAUGGUCGCAAGGCUG